rnacentral:rRNA from 1 species
AGAGUUUGAUCCUGGCUCAGGAUGAACGCUAGCGAUAGGCUUAACACAUGCAAGUCGAGGGGCAGCACGAAUUAGCAAUAGUUUGGUGGCGACCGGCGCACGGGUGCGUAACACGUAUACAACCUACCUUCAAUUGGGGGAUAACCUGGAGAAAUUCGGACUAAUAUCCCAUAGUAAACAGAAGAGGCAUCUUUUUUGUUUUAAAGAUUUAUUGAUUGGAGAUGGGUAUGCGUAGGAUUAGCUAGUUGGUAAGGUAACGGCUUACCAAGGCGACGAUCCUUAGGGGUUCUGAGAGGAAGGUCCCCCACACUGGUACUGAGACACGGACCAGACUCCUACGGGAGGCAGCAGUGAGGAAUAUUGGUCAAUGGUCGAGAGACUGAACCAGCCAAGUCGCGUGAAGGAAGACGGCUCUAUGAGUUGUAAACUUCUUUUGUACAGGAGUAAAGUGAGACACGUGUGUUUUAUUGCAAGUACUGUACGAAUAAGCAUCGGCUAACUCCGUGCCAGCAGCCGCGGUAAUACGGAGGAUGCAAGCGUUAUCCGGAUUUAUUGGGUUUAAAGGGUGCGUAGGCGGUAUUACAAGUCAGGGGUGAAAUCUUGGUGCUUAACAUUAAAAUUGCCUUUGAAACUGUGGUACUUGAGUGUAAAAGAGGUAGGCGGAAUGUGUUGUGUAGCGGUGAAAUGCAUAGAUAUAACACAGAACCCCGAUUGCGAAGGCAGCUUACUAUCAUACAACUGACGCUGAUGCACGAAAGCGUGGGGAUCAAACAGGAUUAGAUACCCUGGUAGUCCACGCAGUAAACGAUGAUUACUAGCUGUUAGCGAUAUACUGUUAGUGGCUAAGCGAAAGCGAUAAGUAAUCCACCUGGGGAGUACGUUCGCAAGAAUGAAACUCAAAGGAAUUGACGGGGGCCCGCACAAGCGGAGGAACAUGUG